UGUGCGGUGUUUCCGGGACGAUACGACAUGGGUACCUUCAAAAAAAAGCGCGUACAUCUUCCUUAAAGGCCGGCCACGCUCUUGUGAUUCCUCUGGUGUUGCAAGAGAAUGUGGGCGGCGGUGAUCACUUAACACCAGGACCCGUACGCUCGUUUGUCCUCCUUUUUCCAUAAAAAAAAUCAUCGGUAAAUCAUUUUUUAACUAAACUGCUGUUUUCUUAAAUAAAAUAUAUUAUGGUGAUCAAUUUUCACUGUGAGAUUGUUAAUUUAUUCGCAUUGCCAUCAUUUUGAUCACCAUUGUUGUAGUCAAGUCAUUAAAUAUCCGGAGCUUAGAUCAUUUUUACGUCUAGAAAGACUGUGACAGCUGACAGAAAACGUGGAAAAGAAUCGAUGUUGACAGUUAAUCUCUAUUUUGAACAAUGCGCGAACACUAACACAAAGUGACAUAAAAAUUGCGAGUGCAAUACGUAGCUUGUCACGCACACUAAAUUAAUAUACCUGGCCUGUUUUCAUCGGAUGUCCAGCAGCAAGAAACUCUAUCUUGAUGUAUAAAUUAUCUAAGAUCUGGAGCGUUUCCAACGUACAUAGGAAUUAAGUAUACUUUAAUUUGUACCAAAAUUUAUGAAUGAUGCGAGAUAAUUUUGAUACAAUUAACAUUUGUAUACUUAAUCCCAGAAAUGAGGGAUAUCUCUUAAAAAUUAUUAAACUUAACUUACUGAUAUACGCAAGAAUAAAUGUCUUGCAAUGAAAAUGAAUAAGAAUAUAUUAUCUAUGAUAAGGUACUUAACCUUCUUGUUAAGAUUUCUAUGGGUAAUCUCUAUGGUAAUGCGUACUCAAUUACCAUUCUGUGGUCUUUUUGAUACUUUCAGUUUUCGUUUAGGUCUAGUCUACUCUUCGUUUCAUUACUUUUAUAGCAUAUAUUAAUUAUCAAUAAAUAAGGAUUUAACUAAAUUUAUUGUACAAACCUAAUGUUGAGUUAUAUAGACCAUUAUAUUUCACCUUCGCACGACAUGCCACACGUUAGGAUAUCAUCCCUCAUCCAUGUGUGGCGGUCCUCCACAGUGCGGUUUUCAAGGACCUUUCUUCCUCGUACUACGAAGCUGUGGAAUGAGCUUCCUUGUGAGGUGUUUCCGGGACGAUACGACAUGGGUACCUUCAAAAAAAGCGCGUACAUCUUCCUUAAAUGACGGCUCUUGUGAUUCCUCUGGUGUUGCAAGAGAAUGUGGGCGGCGGUGAUCACUUAACACCAGGUGACCCGUACGCUCGUUUGUCCUCCUAUUCCAUAAAAAAAAAACCGUACUUAGACUUUGCUCAGACUCUACUUAAGUAAAAGUUUGUUGAGUAUAAGCUUAGCGUAAUUUAGGAUUACGUUUUUAUAGUCUAUUGACAUCUGAAAUUAUGCUGAGCAUAUAAUCUAAGACAGCCCAAUGCAAAAGCCAAGUUCGCGUUUUCACACACAGAACAUCACAUCACACUCAGCUAAAUUUUACAUCAGUAAAGUCUGAGCAAAGACUAAGUACAACCUUAUAAUAAUAUCUUUUAUUUGACACACACAUAAAACAUUACAUAGCUACAAAAAUAAGAAUAAAAAUGAAAAAUUAUAACUAAAACUAACCUAGAACAUAUUUUACAAAGCUUAAAUAAAUAACUUAAUCUAUAGAUCUCGGCCUAAAACCUAGUUUGUAACAAACUUAAAUCGUCAUCUAUACAAUAGGUACUGGUGAUGAAAGAUAUUUUCGCACAAAAAAAUUUAAUAUAAAUAAAUCCAUUCCAAAUUUGACGUUUGAAUAAAUGUAAUUUAUCGACUGAAUGUAAAUAAAUGCUUGUAUAUUUUGUAAUGUAACAACCAUAAUAUAACUUUGUGAUAAGUUGUAUAAAGAUAUAUUCUCUGUAAGGCUUAAUAAAUCAUAUAUAUUUAGUGU